rnacentral:lncRNA from 1 species
UGGAUGUCACAGGAAUGGCCAACAGGCUAACUACUAGGACGAUGUUGGGAGCUCAAAGGCAGCACCCAGGUCCAGCAUGAACUUGGCAGUCAUGCCCACACACUCUAGAAGAUUCCAGAUAUAACAAUUCCAGCAACCAUCAAAUCAUCCACCUGGAAUUCUGACCUGUAUCCUCAAGAGAUGGCAAUGAUCUGAGACUGUUUCUCAAACUAGGAAUGCCCAGGUACGUCAUAGGUCAUUUGUAAACAAUAAAUUAGCUAGCUAAAUGAACCAAACACAGUGGCUCAGGUCUGUAAUUCCGGUGGAGGAAGGAGGAUUGGGAGUUGGAAGUCAUCUUUGGCUACAUAGUGAGUUCUAAGUCAGCCUGUACUACAGGAAACCCUCUCAGCCAGGCAGUGGUGUGGUGCACUCCUUUAAUCCCAGCAUUUGGGAGGCAGAGGAUCUCUGUGAGUUUGAGACCAGCCUGGUCUACGAGAUCGAGUACCAGGACAGCUUCCAAAGCCACAGGGAAACCCUGUCUCAAAAAAAGAAAAAAAGAAAGAAAAGAAAAAAACAAGAAACCCUCUCUAACCAAGGAACACCGCCCACCGCCCACCACGACCCAAUUAAUUUGUUAAUGACCGAUGUCCAGCACCUUCCUAGGACAGGGAAGUUUAGCAAAAAAAAAAAAAAAAAAAAAAGGAUAUACUUCAUUGGCAGCCUCUCCCACCCCUCCCCCCAGACAGGGUUUCUCCGCAGCUUUGUAGACCAGGACUGGUCAGGACUCACAGAGAUCCUCCUCCCAAGUGCUGGGAUUAAAGGCGUGGGCCACCCCCCCCCCACCCGUGGCAGCCUUUCGAUUGCCACCCUACUCAAGCAGGCUGCUUCUAGGAGAACAGCUUUGAUUGUCGAGGUCCAGUUCCCACCAUCUUUUCUGCAGGGAACCAGGGGACUGCAGGCCUGAUCUAAACCCUGACAUGGGGAAGGCCACCAGGGGAGAGCCCCUGCCUGGCUCCUCUCCGGGCUGGAGGCUCGAACCCAGACCAAAGGAGGCUGGCG